ACAAAGGCAAAGGCACCACAGGAAUGGGACAGGAUACAAGACUCUGUGGAAACCUGCUGGUGGAAGUCAGGAGCCUCUCUUUGACCUCGAGAUAACUGAACAAGAUCGGACAAGAACAGUGGAUGCAUUGUUUGAAUAUCUGCUCAAUUGAAAUGAUGAAAGUAGGGUUAGAAGUAAGGAAAAGCCAGCUAAGAUGUCUGGUGGCAACCGAAGAUCUCGUGAGGCGCCAUCUUUUAGCUUGGGAUCAAGGAAUUAAAACAAAGAAAGGUCUUGAAUUUGUACUGGUUUGCUAAUCACACAUUAUCACUGUACUGAAGUCUUCAGGAGUAAAAAUGCCUCCAGAGCAGUUAUGCAUACACACAGUACACUAAAUAUUUCUGUAGGGAAAUGGAUGAGGACAGAAGGGUCUACUGAUCUGAGUCAGGCUCACCAAAUUCCCAGAACUGUAAAGGCCAAGCCAGGAGGAUUAAAGGUUUGAGGCCAGAGUGGAUUACACAGUAAGAUUCUGUCCCAAACAACCAAAAUCAAAAGGACUCAACUAACCUACAAAGAAAGCAAAAGGGCCCCUCUGUGAUUUUAUCAAAUCACUCAGAAGACUCGUUGGUGUGAGAAAAAUUCCAAGCAGAUUCCUUAACCCUUUGCAAUUCUUGUUUCCUUUGAAGCUUCCCACAAUUAAACAUUCUACAUUGUUUUCUGU
rnacentral:lncRNA from 1 species